rnacentral:rRNA from 1 species
AUGGAAACAGCGGAAACCAUUCGCCUGCGAGCAACUGUGGGUAACCAGACGAUGCUGCUGUUGGUGGACUCGGGGAGCACGCACAGUUUUGUCAAUUCAACAUUUGCUGUCAGAAUUGGAGCAACAACAACACCCAUUCCUUCCAUUGCUGUACGGGUAGCCAAUGCCCAGCGACUGAACUGCGCAGCCAUGGUACCGCAGCUCCAGUGGUGCAGUCAGGAACACACAUUCAGCACAGAUAUGCGUGUGCUGGACUUGGGCGUCUAUGAUGCAGUUCUUGGCGUCGACUGGCUAGCGCAACAUAGCCCCAUGAAGUGUGAUUGGCAGUUGAAAACAAUGCAAUUCGAGCGUGAUGGGACAGCAGUACAACUACAGGGAGUUAGAUCGGAUGAAUCACCAACCCUUACUUCUCUGGAUGCUGCUUCUCUUUGGCAAAUGCAUGAUGCAAACGAGAUUUGGGGGGCUGCUUUAAUAAAACUCCAAAUGGCGCCAACACCAGAUUCAACAACAUCUCAACCACCACCAGUUGUGAUCCAACGCAUUCUGACGGAGUUCAGUGAUGUCUUUGCUGAACCUACAGGAUUACCUCCCCGCCGUCAAUACGACCAUGCUAUCACUCUAGAACCGGGGGCCACACCAAUCAACUAUCGCCCGUAUCGUUAUUCCCCGUUGCAGAAAGACGAGAUAGAGCGUCAGGUUACGGAAAUGCUGCGGACAGGGAUCAUUACUCAUAGUAUGAGUCCCUACGCCACUCCUGUACUCCUGGUGAAAAAGAAGGAUGGGACCUGGCGCUUCUGCGUAGAUUACAGACGCCUGAACAUGGUGACCAUCAAAAACAGAUUUCCCCUUCCCGUCAUCGACGAGCUACUGGAUGAACUUGCUGGCGCCGCCUUCUUUUCCAAGAUCGAUCUGCGAGCUGGAUACCAUCAAAUCCGUAUGAAAAAAGGCGACGAGGAGAAAACUGCAUUCAAAACGCAUCACGGCCACUUUGAGUUCCGUGUCAUGCCAUUCGGGGUCACCAACGGACCACCCACAUUCCAAUGUGUCAUAAACUCGGUGUUCUCUGGACCAAAUCGUAAGUUCGUCAUUACUUUUCUCGAUGACAUCUUGGUUUUCAGCCGUUCUCUGCAGGAGCAUGUUGAUCAUCUGCGCACCGUCUUCUCCAUUCUGCGACAACAUCAACUGUAUGCCAAACAAUCCAAGUGCUCCUUCGCACAGCCCAUCAUUGAGUACCUCGGGCAUGUUAUUUCCAGGGAGGGUGUGGCGACUGAUAAGAGCAAGACCAGUGCCAUGUCUGCGUGGCCGACACCGACAAAUGCCACUGAACUCCGGGGUUUUCUGGGUUUGACAGGCUAUUACCGCAAGUUUGUGAAGAACUAUGGGAUUCUCGCCAAGCCAUUGACUCAAUUGCUCACUAAGAAAGGAUUCAGUUGGACAGAUCAAGCUCAAGCGGUGUUCGACCUCCUCAAACAAGCAAUGGUGAACACCCCAGUGCUAUCUCUGCCUGAUUUCUGUUAG